rnacentral:rRNA from 1 species
AGGUUAAGUUAACAAGGGCGCAUGGUGAAUGCCUUGGCACUAGGAGCCGAUGAAGGACGGGACUAACACCGAUAUGCUUCGGGGAGCUGUACGUAAGCUAUGAUCCGGAGAUUUCCGAAUGGGGCAACCCAGCAGUUUUAAUCAACUGUUACCACUAGAUGAAUUCAUAGUCUAGUUGGAGGUAAACGCUGUGAACUGAAACAUCUCAUUAGCAGCAGGAAUAUAAAGAAAUUUCGAUUCCCUAAGUAGCGGCGAGCGAACGGGGAACAGCCCAAACCAAAGUGCUUGCACUUUGGGGUUGUAGGACUGAACAUUUGAGUUACCAAAGAACUUGAUAGUCGAAGGAUUUGGGAAAAUCCGCCAUAGAUGGUGAUAGCCCAGUAGAUUAAAUCAAAUUCUCUCAGUUCAGGAUCCUGAGUACGGCGGAACACGUGAAAUUCCGUCGGAAUCCGGGAGGACCAUCUCCCAAGGCUAAAUACUACCUAGUGACCGAUAGUGAACCAGUACCGUGAGGGAAAGGUGAAAAGCACCCCGGGAGGGGAGUGAAAUAGUUCCUGAAACCAUGUGCCUACAAUAAGUCAGAGCGCGUUAAUGCGUGAUGGCGUGCCUUUUGUAGAAUGAACCGGCGAGUUAUGAUCCCGUGCAAGGUUAAGACUAAAAAGUCGGAGCCGUAGCGAAAGCGAGUCUGAAAUGGGCGUUUUGAGUACGAGGUUAUAGACCCGAAACCAGGUGACCUAUCCAUGUCCAGGUUGAAGGUGCGGUAAAACGCACUGGAGGACCGAACCCGUGUAAGUUGAAAAUUGCUGGGAUGAGGUGUGGAUAGCGGUGAAAUUCCAAACGAACUUGGAGAUAGCUGGUUCUCUCCGAAAUAGCUUUAGGGCUAGCCUCGGAAUUAGGAUCAUGGAGGUAGAGCACUAUUUGGACUAGGGGCCCGUCUUGGGUUACUGAAUUCAGAUAAACUCCGAAUGCCAUUGAUUCAUAUCCGGGAGUCAGACGAUGAGUGAUAAGAUCCACCGUCGAAAGGGGAACAGCCCAGACCAUCAGUUAAGGUCCCUAAAUGUAUGCUAAGUGGAAAAGGAUGUGGAGUUGCAUAGACAACUAGGAUGUUGGCUCAGAAGCAGCCACCAUUUAAAGAGUGCGUAAUAGCUCACUAGUCGAGUGAUCCUGCGCCGAAAAUGUACCGGGGCUAAGCAUACUACCGAAACCAUGGAUGCGACCAUUAGGUCGCGUGAUAGGAGAGCGUUCUAAGGGCGGUGAAGCAGGAUCGUGAGGACUUGUGGAGCGCUUAGAAGUGAGAAUGCCGGUAUGAGUAGCGAAAGAUAGGUGAGAAUCCUAUCCACCGAAUGACUAAGGUUUCCUGGGGAAGGCUCGUCCUCCCAGGGUUAGUCGGGACCUAAGUCGAGGCCGAGAGGCGUAGACGAUGGAUAACAGGUUGAGAUUCCUGUACUAGUUAAGUGCGUUUGAGCAAUGGAGGGACGCAGGAGGCUAAGAUGUGCAUUCUGUUGGAUUAGAAUGUCCAAGCAGUAAGUCUUGUGAAGAGUCAAAUGCUUUUCACUUUAAGGACAAGCUGUGAUGGGGAGCGAAAUUUAGUAGCGAAGCGUCUGAUGUCACACUGCCGAGAAAAGCUUCUAGUGAGUACUUAACUACCCGUACCGCAAACCGACACAGGUAGUCGAGGAGAGAAUCCUAAGGUGAGCGAGUGAACUCUCGUUAAGGAACUCGGCAAAAUGACCCCGUAACUUCGGGAGAAGGGGUGCUGAUCGCAAGAUCAGCCGCAGUGAAUAGGCCCAGGCGACUGUUUAUCAAAAACACAGGUCUCUGCAAAAUCGUAAGAUGACGUAUAGGGGCUGACGCCUGCCCGGUGCUGGAAGGUUAAAAGGAUGGGUUAGCUUCGGCGAAGCUCAGAAUUGAAGCCCCAGUAAACGGCGGCCGUAACUAUAACGGUCCUAAGGUAGCGAAAUUCCUUGUCGGGUAAGUUCCGACCCGCACGAAAGGCGUAACGAUCUGGGCACUGUCUCAACGAGAGACUCGGUGAAAUUAUAUUGUCCGUGAAGAUGCGGACUACCCGCGACAGGACGGAAAGACCCCAUGGAGCUUUACUGUAGCUUGAUAUUGAGUGUUUGUACAGCUUGUACAGGAUAGGUAGGAGCCAUAGAAACCGGAACGCUAGUUUCGGUGGAGGCGUUGGUGGGAUACUACCCUCGCUGUAUGACCACUCUAACCCGCACCACUAAUCGUGGUGGGAGACAGUGUCAGGUGGGCAGUUUGACUGGGGCGGUCGCCUCCUAAAAAGUAACGGAGGCGCCCAAAGGUUCCCUCAGAAUGGUUGGAAAUCAUUCGCAGAGUGUAAAGGCACAAGGGAGCUUGACUGCGAGACAGACAGGUCGAGCAGGGACGAAAGUCGGGCUUAGUGAUCCGGUGGUACCGUAUGGAAGGGCCAUCGCUCAACGGAUAAAAGCUACCCUGGGGAUAACAGGCUUAUCUCCCCCAAGAGUCCACAUCGACGGGGAGGUUUGGCACCUCGAUGUCGGCUCAUCGCAUCCUGGGGCUGUAGUCGGUCCCAAGGGUUGGGCUGUUCGCCCAUUAAAGCGGUACGCGAGCUGGGUUCAGAACGUCGUGAGACAGUUCGGUCCCUAUCCGUCGCGGGCGUAGGAAAUUUGAGAGGACCUGUCCUUAGUACGAGAGGACCGGGAUGGACAUACCUCUGGUGUACCAGUUGUGCCGCCAGGCGCAUCGCUGGGUAGCUACGUAUGGAUGUGAUAAACGCUGAAAGCAUCUAAGUGUGAAACACACCUCGAGAUGAGAUUUCCCAUUCCUUUAUGGAAGUAAGACCCCUGAAAGAUGAUCAGGUAGAUAGGUUAGAAGUGGCAGUGCGGUGACGCAUGAAGCGGACUAAUACUAAUCGGUCGAGGACUUAACCAAG